UAGAGAUGCAAAAGAGUGGGGUGGGU
rnacentral:piRNA from 1 species